UGUUUGAUUGUAUAAAUUUUUCACGUGGAAAAUGUUGAAGUAAAAGUAUUUUUUGAUGUUCGUUUGACUUUGUUUUACGUGGAAAUUGUCAAUUUCAGGGAUAUCCUCUUUUACAAUUAUUCCUAAAAUUUGUUCCCAUUGCCAACAAUUAAAAAAAAAUAAAAAAAGCAAAAAAAAAAUAAAAAAAAAGGUGGAAAACCAAAAACCACCUAUCCCCUAGGAAAAAAAAUGUGGAAAAUCACGCUUUAAGGUGUUGUACCUAGAAAUUCAUGGAAAAUCAAUUCCCUGGAAAAUUUUGUCAAUCAAACAGGCCAAAAGUGGAAGUUGGAAUUCGAAUUCCAAGUUCCAUGGAAAAUUUCGUGCAAUCAAACGGGGCCUAAAAAAAAUAAAAAUAAAAAAAGGUGGAAAACCAAAAACCACCUAUCCCCUAAGAAAAAAAAGGUGGAAAAUCACGUUUUAAGGUGUUGUACCUAGAAAUUCAUGGAAAAUCAAUUCUCUGGAAAAUUUUGUCAAUCAAACAGGCCAAAAGUGGAAGUUGGAAUUCGAAUUUCAAGUUCCAUGGAAAAUUUCGUGCAAUCAAACGGG
rnacentral:lncRNA from 1 species